AUCCAGUUGACGAGUCACAAAUAGGAUGAAAUGUGCAUCCUGGAU
rnacentral:hammerhead_ribozyme from 1 species